UACGUAGGGUGCAAGCGUUGUCCGGAAUUAUUGGGCGUAAAGGGCGUGUAGGCGGUUCGGUAAGUCUGCCGUGAAAACCUGGGGCUCAACCCUGGGCGUGCGGUGGAUACUGCCGGGCUAGAGGGUGGUAGAGGCGAGUGGAAUUCCCGGUGUAGCGGUGAAAUGCGCAGAUAUCGGGAGGAACACCAGUAGCGAAGGCGGCUCGCUGGGCCAUUCCUGACGCUGAGACGCGAAAGCUAGGGGAGCGAACAGG
rnacentral:rRNA from 1 species